GGAACGGGCCGGCGGCGGCUCGUCUCUUUUCUCUCUCAAGAUCUUGCAAGGGAUAGUAUGCAAAACAAAAGCAUCUUCUCGUGGAUCUUCCAGCCAUCAAGCUUGCAGAUAGUGCAGAGGUUACAGAAGAGACCAUAUUAAUAUCAUUGAGGCGAGCCCUUGCUCAACACUCUGCUCUGCAAGCGGACGAUGGACACUGGGCUGUCGACUUCAGUGCAAUUAUGUUCAUUAUGCCUAUCUUGGUGUGUUCUUUAUUUACAUAUGGCACUAUAUUUUGAGCGACAGCGAGCGUGCCCGAGCGAGGAGAGGUCGGCGGCGGCUGGUACCCUGUGUACCCAUCAGUAAUGGUUCAACGAAUCCAACCUACACGCUUUUUAUUUUCGUUUCUUAGGUCCUUAGGCUGCUGAACGUGCCAUUGCAGACGAAGUGGGAGUCUCACAGGGAGGAGGAUCCGCCGCGCCCUCCUUGCUGCCUGUGCGCCGAGGGUGAAUUGGCGCUGCUCAGGCAGGCGGCGGGCACCAUACUUUCUUCCAGGACUGUGCCAAAAGGACUUCCUGCACCACCUCUCAUCUUCCUCCCGAUCAAGAUCGUG